rnacentral:rRNA from 1 species
UACGUAGGGUCCAAGCGUUAAUCGGAAUUACUGGGCGUAAAGCGUGCGCAGGCGGUUGUGUAAGUCAGAUGUGAAAUCCCCGGGCUCAACCUGGGAAUUGCAUUUGAGACUGCACGGCUAGAGUGUGUCAGAGGGGGGUAGAAUUCCACGUGUAGCAGUGAAAUGCGUAGAGAUGUGGAGGAAUACCGAUGGCGAAGGAAGCCCCCUGGGAUAACACUGACGCUCAUGCACGAAAGCGUGGGGAGCAAACAGG